AGCAGUAUAAUAAUGGACACAAGUAGAAAGAAAUUGCAAUGGAAUAGGUUUCCUGCUACACGUGGACUUUUUUCUUUGCAGUUUGAAAGAAUAUGCUGUGCCAUUGAGGCAUUAUUGUAGACAUGACAUGGGAAAAGCCUUUCAAAGGGAUGCUGAAAGAAGAAUGGGAAAUAUAUCAGUCAUCACUGAUAAUCUCAGGAGCCUAAAUCAUCUAGUGCCUUCAACAUAAACCCAGAUUCCAAAAAGUACUUCUUCGAAAUGUACAAGAGCCUGUAUCUGGUGAGGAAACCAUGAAGAACAAUGAAACCUUACCUCUGUUCGAUUUGCUUCAAUAAAACUUUGAAGUUUUGUUGCUCGUGG